rnacentral:rRNA from 1 species
UUUAGAGUUUUGACCUGGUUCAGGAUGAACGCUGGCGGCGUGCUUAACACAUGCAAGUCGAACGAUGAAGCCCAGCUUGCUGGGUGGAUUAGUGGCGAACGGGUGAGUAACACGUGAGUAACCUGCCCUUAACUCUGGGAUAAGCCUGGGAAACUGGGUCUAAUACCGGAUAGGAGCGCCUACCGCAUGGUGGGUGUUGGAAAGAUUUAUCGGUUUUGGAUGGACUCGCGGCCUAUCAGCUUGUUGGUGAGGUAAUGGCUCACCAAGGCGACGACGGGUAGCCGGCCUGAGAGGGUGACCGGCCACACUGGGACUGAGACACGGCCCAGACUCCUACGGGAGGCAGCAGUGGGGAAUAUUGCACAAUGGGCGCAAGCCUGAUGCAGCGACGCCGCGUGAGGGAUGACGGCCUUCGGGUUGUAAACCUCUUUCAGUAGGGAAGAAGCGAAAGUGACGGUACCUGCAGAAGAAGCACCGGCUACUACGCGCGA